GCAGGUAUCUUAUAACGGUUAAUAGGUCGGAUUUCCAAUCCGAAGAUGUGGGUUCGACUCCCAUUACCUGCUCCA
rnacentral:tRNA from 2 species